GAGGGAGGUGACCCACAAUAAGAACUGCUAAUUCCUACAUCUGAGAUUAACCCCUCAGCUCCCUU
rnacentral:tRNA from 1 species